rnacentral:misc_RNA from 1 species
GAAAAUACCAUUUUAGUCCAACUUUUGAAUUUCUUGUACUAAUCAUGCAUGGUUGAUUUUCCCCCCCUACACAAUAUGUUUGGAAAGAGGUUUUUGGAGGUAAAGUAAGGGUUUUUAAAUUAAUAAGUUUGUUUGGGAGAAAGGUUUUUUUAAUGUAGGUAAAGUUUUUGAAGGUUUCAAAAUUUUCAAAACCCUUACUUUUUCAACCCACUAAAUUUGUAAGUCAGUGAGGUUAUGAUACCUUACCUUCCGUUACCUUACUUUUAAAAAUCUUCCUACACUCCAUCCAAACAUACUGUA